rnacentral:rRNA from 1 species
CAAUAGCGUAUAUUAAAGUUGUUGCAGUUAGAACGCUCGUAGUCGGAUUUCGGGGCGGGCCGACCGGUCUGCCGAUGGGUAUGCACUGGUCGGCGCGUCCUUCCUUCCGGAGACCGUCCCUACUCUUAACUGAGCGGGGGCGGGAGACGGGACUUUUACUUUGAAAAAAUCAGAGUGUUUCAAGCAGGCAGCUCGCUCUUGCAUGGAUUAGCAUGGGAUAAUGAAAUAGGACUUUGGUGCUAUUUUGUUGGUUUCGAACACCGAAGUAAUGAUGAGAAGGGACAGUCAGGGGCACUCGUAUUCCGCCGAGAGAGGUGAAAUUCUCAGACCAGCGGAAGACGAACCACUGCGAAAGCAUUUGCCAGGGAUGUUUCCACUGA